AGUCAAGAUCAAGUGGGCAUGGUGAGCAUCGAGUAGUUUACAGAAGCAGUUGUUAUUGCUGAGGUCUCAGUUUCUGGUGUAGCUCUAAGCAUCUACUCUUACUUUUUUUAUUUUAGGUGGUCCACUUGCCAUCUAUCCUGGCCGAGCAUGCCCAAUGCCAGGUGCUGUUGCCGCUCCAGGCGUGCCAAGGAACAGAGGAGAACAGGUAUCCUCUGGGCAGCCUCUGGAGUAGAAUCAGGAUUUGAGGUACCCUGAGGAGGUUUUCAGCCAAAGUUUGGAAAUGGCAGCACCGAAGCAAACAUGGAGAACGUCUCGACAUCCAUGUACAACUGACGAUGGAUUUUGUCUGCUCGUCUUCCAAAAGCUAAGUGUUGGGGCCAGUAGUUGGGAGAAGGGGAUAAACCUUUACCUUCA